rnacentral:rRNA from 1 species
GCCAUACCGCGUGGGUGAAGAAGGCCUUCGGGUUGUAAAGCCCUUUUGUUGGGAAAGAAAUCCUAUCGGUUAAUAACCGGUGGGGAUGACGGUACCCAAAGAAUAAGCACCGGCUAACUUCGUGCCAGCAGCCGCGGUAAUACGAAGGGUGCAAGCGUUACUCGGAAUUACUGGGCGUAAAGCGUGCGUAGGUGGUGGUUUAAGUCCGUUGUGAAAGCCCUGGGCUCAACCUGGGAAUUGCAGUGGAUACUGGAUCACUAGAGUGUGGUAGAGGGAUGCGGAAUUUCUGGUGUAGCAGUGAAAUGCGUAGAGAUCAGAAGGAACAUCCGUGGCGAAGGCGGCAUCCUGGGCCAACACUGACACUGAGGCACGAAAGCGUGGGGAGCAAACAGGAUUAGAUACCCUGGUAGUCCACGCCCUAAACGAUGCGAACUGGAUGUUGGGUGCAACUUGGCACCCAGUAUCGAAGCUAACGCGUU